CUGGCCGCGGUGGGCGGUGGCUGCUGGGGCCGCUGGGGCGCGCGGCCCAGCUCAGUCGGGCCCUUCCGCGGGGCUGGGCUGGGCUAGGGUGCUCAGGAACCCAGUUCCCAUGCCGGUCCUUGACCACAGCCCUCACAAGCCUCAUGGCCCUUGGAGUAAGCGUGCGUGACAUGAUGUCCCCAGACCUGUAUGGCCGUGUGAGCCGUGAGCCGAGGGCUGUAGGCUGGACCCUUGGGUUGGACAGAAGCCAUCUGCCACAGACAGGCAGUGCAUGCGGGACCUGUGGCGGGCUUGAGGCGCCUGUGUGGGCUCAUCCUCUGGGAAUGCCAGUGUGUGUCUGCUGAGUUGUGUAGGCGUGGCUUUUUCCGCGUGAUACACGGACACUGCGAGGAUGUGUCUAUAUGGCGUGUGUGUCUUCUGCAUAUGGUGUUUGUCUGGAGUGGGGGUUACACAUGUGCGCUAGUGAUCUGUGUGUGUGUGUCUGUGUGUGUUGUGUGACCAAUUUUCCUGACUCUGAAUUUGCGUCUGCCACUUUAAGUUUUGAGAUUUUUGCUUUGUACUUGGCUUUUCUCUAUUUAGUCCUUUUUCUUCUCUCUUGUGUGAUCCUGUGGGUCAUUUGGGGCCACCUCUCCCCAUUAGUGAGGCCCCAGGGCCCCAGCAGACCUCCAGGGCCCGGCCUGGCUGGCCUCAGCGUCCAGCCAGCUGUGGCCACACGCAGGCUGACAGUGCUGACUCAUGCCUGGCCAGAGCUGAGUGUGACCAGCGCGUCCAGGCUGGGUGAGCCCCCACUGUGGGGAGGGCAAGGGCCCAGGUCAGCCCAGACCUUCUGGGGACUUGUGACCGCAUGGCGUUAGAGGCAGGGGCAGGAGUAAGUCAUUUCUUCUGGCUUCCCUGGCAGCCGCACAGCCUCACAGGGGUCCACCCCAGGGACAGUGCUGACGGCUGGGCCUUCGGAAAGGCCCCGACAUUCUCCAGCUUCCAUGGUGUUCCUGCAAUCCAAGUGCUGCUGACCUCUCUACAGGGCUGGAAGAAAGCCGUGCUUCUGACUCCAGGAAGUGCUACGGUGUUGCUGGGCCGGCUUCUGAGCUGUCUGUGGCGUGAGGCUGGGCUAAGUGUUUGGUCACCUGGGAUGGGAAGCCACUGGCUUGAGGUGACACAGACAAAGGGGAGCCAGGAGAACCAGUCCUGAUCCACUGUGGAGCACCCCGGACCCUGCUCCCUGGCAGCAGGCUCAGCCAUAAUGCAUUGCCAGUCUAGCCCUGCGGUUUCUUUUGCUGGGAUAAAUUCAGUGGAAGGAGCUGUGUAAAGGCACCACAGGCCCUGCCCCACAGAGAGUCCUUGUCACUUACAUGCUCCAAGAGGUCUCAGAACUAGGGGACUUCCUCCCCUACCUCCUCCUUGUCUGGAGCUGGCAUUAGGCCCCACAGCUUCCAGACCCAGCAAGGGCAUUUACUGCCAGAGAUGGCUGGGCAGACCCUCAGUAGGUAUUCCACACAAGUGCUCAUGGCUUAAACCCAACUCCUGAUUUCUCUCUGAGCCAGUCUCUGUGAAUGUCCACACCAUCGUCCUGCGUCACUCCUGGCCUCCUGCUAACAACCAAAUCUAUUGACGCUCUAGAUCCUCAGCGUCUCCACAUCACACGACUUCCGUUGUCACCAUUCCUGUCUGCAUCCUUGUCUUCGGUCCACCAGAUGACCGGCGCGCCUCCUAAUUGGGCUUCCUGCACUCCUGCCUGUGCUCAGAGUUCCCUUCUCCACUUGCCUGCUGGAGGAGAUUUACAAACAAAAUCAGAUCAUGGCACUCCCCUGGGGCCCUGCAGGUAGAGCUUCUGCGACCUGGCCCUGGCCAGCUUUGGCCUCCCAUCCUCCCUAUUCCUUCCAGACCCCACUGUGCCUUGGUGUCCCUGCCCUCCUUUCUCCUCCCUGACUUCACCUGCCAGUUCAUAUCUCCCGGCCUUUGCAGGGUGUUUCUGCUGCAGGAAUUCUCUGCCCCUGGGUCUCUGUGUGGUGAGCUCCCUUUCACCACACUCAGUCAAAGUCUAAUAUUGUCCCCCCACCACCUCUUGCAUUCACUCUCCAUCCUGUUACCCUGUUUUACUUUUUCAGAGCACUAUGUUGUUUGGUUGUCCACCCUACUACCCCAACUAGAAUGUAAGCUCCAAGAUGUGAGGGCAUUUCGUGUCCCAUCCAUUCUGCAUCCCAGAGUCCAGGCUGGAGCUGAGAAGGUGCUCAAGGAAUGUUUGUUGCAUGAGCCAAUUUCACAGUGCUCCGGGCUCCCAGGUGGAAAGGUCCUUGAUCUUUUCUUUACCAGGUCUUGGAAACUCCCCUGCACCCCAGAAACUUCCUGGUCAGUCCCUGGUCAGUGUAUACUGUGCUUCCUGUGACAUGACAUCAACUUCUCAGUGACUUCCACUGGUUUUGGCACAGGUCACAGAGCCUGACACCUCUGCAGGGAGUUCUACCAGGUAUUCGAAGAGUGCGUCUUAAUGCAAAAAUAAUGAGAGAUGCAGGGUCACGAGUCACAGGUUCAAGUUCUGACUAUUUCUCUUCUCCAUGGUCAGCUGUAAGUCGUCGAGGUCUCUGGCCCUCAGCUUCCCCUCUGGAAAUGCUGGGAACCAUACCCCUCAGAGCUUCAAUAGGGUGGGAGGAAAUGCUGGCCAGUGUGGUCAGCCAGGGGUCUGGUACAGGCCUAUGCUUAACAAGUGUUGUUUGAGUUUGGGGAAAAAGUCUGCACGAUUCUUCAUUAUCCCAGAACAUUGAGGUCCUCGUGCCCUGCCCAGGUAUCACUGCUCCCUCUGCCUGGGGCAUCUUCCAAAUUAGAAAAACAGAGAGGAAAAGAGCAGCCCUGCUUAGGUGGGGCUGGGCGGUGGAAGGGAGGUGGGGUGCGGGUGGUGUGCUGUACUCUCCCACGGUGAUUUAUAGCGUUUUGUCUUUUGGAAAACAUUGCAGUGCAAGGUUGCCCAAGGUCAGUGCCUCUGUUCUGCGAUCUCUUUAUGAAAAAGGAGAAGAGAAAGUGGGCACUGCUUCCAAUUUUUUAAGGAGUUGGCCAAGAGCCAGCACCAGGCAUCAGAGGAAGGCAGCUGACUGCACUCGGCCACAUCCCAAAAGUGCCUGGAAGGGGAGGGAGGAAGCAGGCGCUUCAGAAGGCACUACUGUGUGCCAGGCCUCAUGCUAGGAGUGCUGUAACAGGGAGCAGUGAUGGAGUCCUUGAGGUACACCAGACAUUGUUCUAAGCACUUUAUGGAGAUUGACUCAUUUCAUCAAUUUCAUUCUCCCUACCUCUAUGAAUAUGUGGUGUUUUUCCCAUUUUAUAGAUGGAUUCGCUGAGGCAUAGGAAAGCAGAAUAACAUAUCCAGGGGCCCACAGCCAGCAUGGAUGUUAUUUAAUUCCAGUCCUGCAACUACCUGGAGAUGAGGAUCAUUAUUACCACCACUUUAUCCAUGAGAGCUCUAAGGCUUGGAGGGGUUAAAGCAACUUGUCCAAGGUCACUCAGAAAAAGGGCACCACAGAGCUGGGAUUUGAACUCCACUCUGAGUGACUGCAAAGCAGUGCAUCAUCCUGUGCUAUGUAACUUGGCUGGUCUCCUCGCCUUUUCUCAUUUCCCUGAAAUGGAUGGGUUGGGGGCUGGACACUUGGCUGCUGGCAGUCUUCAAAGAUUGCGAGGGAUGGUGGGAGCUAAGCCAGCCCCCAGAGCUGCUGUGGGCCCCCCUGAUUUCCCUGCUAAUGGUGCCUUGGGCUUUAUGUGGACGUUGGUGUUUCCAACACAGACCCAGAGGAAGAAUCUUAAAUCCCUGGUAAACCUCCCUAUUGAGCCACCUUCUUUGUUAUCAGAGGGAUAUCAGGAAAGACUCAGAUAAAGAGGUAAUGUCUGGGCCUCACCACCCCAGAACAGACCCUCACACACCACAGGAUGAAGUCGGAGGGGGAGAAGUUUCUGGGUUGGAGCCAGAGCCUAUGGAGGACCAGGCGCGAGUUGGCCCAGCAUGCUGGCCUGGAUCCAGCCUGCAGCCCCCACUCCCUGUCUUCCUCAGGCACCCUCCUUCUCUGCUCUCCCCACCACCAUCAGAGCCUCCUCCCAGGAAAGGCUGGGAAGUUUUUAGAACCUGGUAGUCCCUGGAAGUUAGGGUCCUGGUCUCUUUGUGAUGAUCUCCAAGGCCUGUCAUCCUACUAUACUGUGGCUGUGUCAGUGUAGGAAGAGCCCAACUUUGAGGAUCCAGAGAUUGGGCUCUCUUCCCCAACAGUUGCAGCUCCAUCUAUGAUUGUCUUAGGAGACAUGGCAACAUCCUAGGUUUCACUUUCCUCAUCUGUACAGUGGGUGUAAUAAUGUGGCCCCGGAGCUGACAGAUGAGGACCAGAUGGGGCGAGGGAUAAGAACGCACUCUGAACAUGGUCAAGUCUUGACUGGCUGCCCACAGUCGCUAAUUUGUUCUACAACCCAGUGGCCGAAAAGUUUACAUCAUAUUGGAAUCACGUGGGGAUCCUAAAGCAUGCUGAUGCCUGGUUCCUCUCCUCAAGUGUUCUGAUUUAAUUGAUUUGGGGAACAACCAGACAUUGGGAGUCCUAGGGGCUCCCAGGUGACUCUAAUGUGUGGUCAAGCUAGGGAACGAUAAGAAGCCCCUUCUAUUCAGUGAUUCCACUGGCUUAUUAGGCAGCAAGGGAGCUCUUAGGUCACCAUCAGGCCCAAAUUUUUCUCUUGGAUGCCUGUUCUGCUCUCUGGAUUUGUCCUAAUGUGUCCUGCUGAGAGUUUAGAAUCCUAAACACCUGCUUUUUAUGGAAUGUGCCUCUGGCAGAUGUCUGGGGAGCGGAAGCGCCCCAUGAUUUUUGCUGACUUCCUUCUCUGUGGAGAGGCUGUGCUGGGGAUUGGGGCUAGUGAGAGACUCAGGCCUGAUCCUUGCCCUUUGCACACUCAUGCAGGGGUCCUUACCUUCUGAGUUCUCUCCUUAGAGGUCAAGGGGAGGAAAGAGGAAGGGAGCAAAGCAUGACUGGGCCCGUGCCUCCUGCUCAGAGCUUUCCCAUGGAUAGGAUGUGAAAGCAGGUGAGAAAGGCCUGUCAUUCCACUCAUGGAUGAGGAAUCUGAGCCUCUGACAGCUUCAAAGACUCAUCCAAGGUCUCACAGAUCAUGAGUAACAAAAUGGGAGUGAACCCUGCUCUGUCUGCUCUCCAAGCGCCUGCUGUGGUGGGGAGGAGAGAGGCGGCAGAUGGCAGGAGGUGUGAUUCCAGAGAGGCAGGCAGGGCUGGAGACUGGGGUCACUGUUUGGGGAACGGACUGGGUCCAGGGUCCCCUUUGUUCUCUCUCUGCUUCUUCCCUCCCCCUGGGUCCCUGGGUUCCCCAAAGCAGGGGACAGCUUUGGGUGUUUGGGGGAAUGAAGGGUUAUGAACAGGUGUUUCGUCUCCUGGGUUUCAGUGCCUGACUGUGAAACGGUCUCUGACCUCACUUUAUUUGCUUAUGGAGUAUUCAGGUGUGUGUCAGUGAUCUGUGAGAGAGGAAACAGCAUCCUCAAGAUCAGCCUCAGACUCAGUGGCUGCAUCUGAAGGGGUCUAGGAGGCCAGGGCCAUGUCAGGACCCAGGACCACCAUGUGAUGAAGGUGGCCAGGUGGAAGGCUCCCGUCGUUGUGGAGGGCUUUGAUGUCAAGUGACAACAAUCUAACUUCAGUGGGGGAGUCAGGAACAGUGUUCUGGGUGCUGCUGCUUGAGUAGAGGGUAGAGUCUCUAUCUCACUCAGUCUUGCUUUCCCCAUCUGUAGAAUAGGAGGUGCUGUACGUAAUUGUCAAGGCAAGUGCAGGGUGGAGCCUUAUAGUGAGGGUACACCAUCUUCUCAUCCAUCCAUCCAUCCAUCCACCCAUCCAUCCAUCCAUCCGCCCUCCCAUCCAUCCAUCCAUUCACCCAUUCACUCUCCCAUCUUUCCAUCCAUCCAUCUGUCCACUCAUACUUCCUUUUAUGCACUCAUGGAUUCUUAGGAGCUCCUUUGGUGAACCAGCUCUGAGCAGAUACUUGCAUUGAGAUGAGUCAGAAUUUUUCCUGCUUCCACGGACUCUCAGACCCAGCACGGAGUCCAGUCCUGUGAAUAAAGAGGCCACUGGGGCAGUUUUCAGAGAGGAGACACUGUGUGAGCUGGUUAGAGGUCAGAGUGAGAGUUUGUCAGGCAGGUGAGCAGGGGAAGCAUCUCAGGCAUAGGGCCUGGCAAAGGCCUAAUGUGCUGUGGGGUACUUAGGGCCUUCUGGCCCUGUGGUGGGGCUGAAAUUUGGCAGUAGCUACAGCUAAAACUGUGACUGGGGGUUUCUGAGCCAGGGUGGAACAUGCUAAGAGACCCUACUUUAGGGAGUGGAGUCUGGUUGACUCUGACAGGACAAGGAGAGGCAGUGGGCAUAAGAGGGCAGCCCGAGGCAGGGGGCAGGGCUGCUGGCAAGGCUGAUAUGCUGGUCUGUCCCAUUAUCCCCAAAAGAAUGUGCCUCCCCUCUCUGUCCAGCUUCUAUCUCUCUUUUUUUGUGGUUCAGGAGGCCUGUUCUUUGCCCAGAUACGGAGCAGGCAAGAGUGCCCAGCCUGGCCCUGUCAUUCCCCAUUCAGCCCCAGUGGAAGAAGUGACGCUGUCAUUUGCAUUUCAAAACCUGUAUCUCCCUGCAUCUUCCCUUAAUAAGAGCCAAUUACACCCCUGCCCCAAACCGCAGGUUGUCUGCCUGUCAUUGGACUUUUAUCCUGUUUGGGAUGGGGAAGAACUGCUCCCUUAAAUGUCACAUUUAGCAUAUGCAAAUGAAGAGAUAAUUGUCCUUAAUGGAAAAUGAACUCACCUGCUUGCUGUGAGCUCCAGACAAAAGCAGGCAUUGAUGAAACGGGCACCAGGAUGGGCCUGGGAUCUGUGCUUCCAUCCCUGCCUUAGCCAGGGGCCCAGCUGGCCUGAUCUGUCUCCACCCACUGAGAAGAUGACAGUCCAGGGAUCUAUGCCAGUUGGAAGGUAACACAUUUAGAGGUUGUGCCUCCAUUUGACAGAUGUGGACACUGAGGCCUAGAGGAUGGGAGGGAUUGGCCCAAGGUCACAGGCUGAGUCAAACUUCUUAGGGGAGCUGAGAAUGGAAGUCUAGAGCAGCCCAUGCUGGAGAAGUGAGGGCGCUCGAGAGUGGAUGAUUUUCCAAUUAGGCAGACGGGAAUCACGAGCCAACCUUGGGAUCUAGCACUUGCUGGGAGCAUAUAUCUUUAGUAGAUAAUGAUUUCCAAUCUGGGUGUUGUGCCUGGUUAUCUGGAAGCUGAGGGAAGAGGGCUGGAGAGGACAGGUGCUUUGGAGACCAUCUCAGCACUUGCCCAUGGAGCAUAAUCCUCCCUACCCCUGGUAAUAUUUCUCUCAAAACCGAGAUUACAAGUGGAAUGCAUUCAGAAGGAGUGAGUCCUCUGUCACUGGCAGUGUGCAAGCGACAUGGGAGGGCCCUCUGAGUGCACAGUUGUCCAAAGAGUGGAGAUUCCUGGGAGGAGAGAAGAUCUCUUUGAGAAUGAGCCUCUUCUCAUUGGCUAGGGCAAAGCCUCUUCUCAUUGGCUAGCCCUUGUGCCCUGAGCUGACGACAGGAUGAGGAAUUUCAGGAGCCCCAGGCCUGGCUGGGAUUUGGAGAUUUGGACCUGCUCUGAGACUCAAAGCCUCUGCCUUGUUCUCUAAUUCCAGAGGCAGAAGUUUGGACAGUUCCUCAUGCCUGAGUCCCCUCCUGGUUCCUGCCUGGCCUUGGGGUCCUGCUCCUACCCCCUGGGGAAGUGGUGGCGCUGUGGAGUUUGAAAACCUGGAUUCGAGUCCUAGCAUGUCCGCUUGAACAUGACUUCUAUCCUCUGGGAGCCUCGGCUCCUUCACCAGGAGAGCGGAUGUCUGUGAUAUCUGCCUCCUCCCAGUUUUGUGGGGAUGCCGCCAGGGCUCAGCAGAUGCCUGGUACUCGGGAGGGACUUGGUGGAGAUUUGCUUUAAGAAGCACUGGCUCUGUCCCCUUCCCUUUGCCUAUGAAGGGGCCUGACGCCUGCUGCAGCCCUCCAGGUGCUCUGUGCUCUGUCCACCUCCCGCUCAACUGCCUCCUGUUGCCUCUUGCUGGGUCUCCCAGAUGGGCAGCUCAGGCCAGCCCCUCAAGCCUGGCUGAACCAGGAAAUGCCAUGACCUUGGAGAGGAGGCACUGGAAACCUCUGACUCUCUUUCCUCAGGUGUGCUGAUGGAUCUCAGACAGGAUAAAGAACUUACUCAAGGGUCACGCUAUGAAGUCGGAGUCAUCUGGCCUGUCUCCAGCUUUGAAGGCCUAAAUGCUUCUGAUGUCACAGUGGGGUGCAUCCCUGUGGGACACAGAGGGCUCAGCUGCUCCAAGAUGAGGCCAUAUCCAUUGGCACCGGGUGGCAUUGGCCAUAGGCGGGGUGAGGAUCAGGAGGUGGGCCUUGGUCUGUGCAGGGUGGGUGGAAACCCAGCUCCCAGCAGAUGUCAGCCCUCACUCCUGCCAUUGCUGUUGGCCCUCUCCUCUCUGUCAUGGCUUCUCCAACAGCCCCGGCCCCUGGGGCUGCGUAGUCCACUCACAUGAGAGAUAGGCACCCCAGGCCUCAAUCUGACCUUGCCCAAGGUCCUCCAGCUUGUUAACCACUUGGUCUUGGAUGACCUCUCUGGUCGCCAGGGUCCUUGUGUGUGAUAUAGGGACGGUGAUGCAUACUCUGUGUGGUUUUGGGGAAUUUAGAUAAGGCAGCUAUGAAGCAUCCAGAGGCUGAAUUCUGGUGGGUGUCCUCAUAGAUCACACAGACUCCACUUCAAACCUCAGCUCUACCAGUAUCCAUCUGUGUUAACUGGGGCAAUUACUAAGCUCUCUGGAACCCAGUUUUCACCACAUAAAGUGGGGCAUCUUUUCUCUCUAAAGCUUGGAUUUUUUCCCUCGGGGAGUUCACAAGAUUGCCCCGGGAUAGAAUCCAGCAGCAACUGCCUCCUUCGCAGGCAUCUUAGACCUUUCCCUCUCGCUCAGCCCAGCCCUCCCUUCCAGCUCACCUUCUUGUUCCUCUGGGCCUCCUCCACACGGGCCGCUCCACACCACGCGUCCUUCCCAGACCCCUCCUUGCUUAGACCCCUGACUAGCCUCUCCUAACGCCAUCCCCCAACUCACGCGCUUGACAGGCACCUGUAUUUUCUUCAAGCUCAUCCUAAAUGCUGUCUGCUCUGCCGAGGGGGUGAGGGAAAGCAUAGUGGAGAUGGUGGCUCUACCUGCCCCACCAUAGGACUUAAUCAUCUAACAGCCCCUCGGACACAACUCGGCUGAAGGUGUCAUGUGUUGUGAUGUGUUUUCCUCCUACAGCAUGAGGUUUGGGCUCUGCUCCUCACUGCCUGCUCCCAGGGCCUGCCACAGUGCUCAGGGAGUGUCUGUGGGAGGGUUUGAAGCUGCUCUGGCUGCCGUUGCGUGUCUGCAGUUAGCAGGGCUGAGCCUUACUCAGUCUACCAGGGGCUACAAGGUGUUACCUCCCUGGGUGUGGUCGUCAUUAGGGCUGGUCAAAUAUCCCAACUGGUUCUUUCUUCUUCUGGUCAGGUGGUGGGAUCACCAUUCCCUGCCCCGUCUGAGGGGUGUGGCAUGUGAUUUUCUCUGGCCAAUGACAGGGCAGCAGAAUCAAAGAGAGUUACUGCUGAGUGGAGGCUCUAGGGGCAGAGUAUUACUUGCCAUGUUUCUUCCCCUGCUUUGAGGAUUAUGGAAGCACGCAGUGGGAUGAAGCAUCUGUCAGCCCACGUGCCACACAGACCCUGCCAACCUAGAUCUGACCUGUACCAUGAAUAAGAAAUUGACAUUUGCUUUGUUAAACCGCUGAGAUUCAAGGGCUGGCUGUUCCUGCAGCAAAACCUAGUCCAUCCUAACUGACCCAAGAGGCCAUGCAGGUGAAUUAAGUAUAAGAAGGAGUGGGUUUCAGGUAAGGCCUGAAUGGGAAUGAGUGGUGGGGAUGGGUGUGUCUCACUGAAGACUGCACAUCCUACCCAAAGACAUUCAAAUGCAUCACUUUUAAAAACACCACACUAGCUCAAUAACACCCAUCUGCCAGUGACUCAGACUGGGCCAAAGACCACAACUGACUCUCCCUUCCGUGGGUCUAGGGAUGGAGGGCGAGGGUGUGGGCAUCAGUCCGAACCCUUCCCACAGUGUGAAGACUUACUCUAGGUGGUGCAUACAGGUGGCUCCCGAGCUCUUCCCCCAGUUUGCAGGUGUGAUGGCAGAGGGACACAUCAGCUCUUCUCUCCAGAUGCCCAGGCCGACAGCCAGGGCUGGCUGACUCUCAAGGACUCCCCCAGGCCCUGGAAGGCAAGCCACUGGCUGAUGAUAAAUUCUGUGUUGGGUCAGAGUGGGAGCCCUGACCUCCCUUGAGACCUUGUGGGGAGCUUCCUCCCAGCUCUGGUCUCCUCGGCCUGUCUUCGAGGCUGCCCGGAAGCUGUCUCCCUGUGAUUAACGAGCAUUUCCCCUCCCUCGGGCCCAUGGUGGGGGACGGAUGGGAUGUGGCUUUGGCUGUUGUGGGUAGUGCUGGGGUUUGGGGAGCCUUGGAGCGUGGGCUGCAGCUGUUUACUUGGCAGGGCCUCACUUGCAGAUGUGAGGCUGCAGGGUGGGUGGGGAAGCUGAGGGGUGGGGUAGAACCCAAUGAGAAGCCGGGACCAUUGCCCCUCCUCAGGAAGAGCCUGUGUACUCCUGAAGCGAGACUCACAUUCAUUGCCCCAUGUUCAGAACCCUGGUUCUCAGAACCUGCCCCUGAUGGUGGCCCGGCUUCCUCCAGCUGUCUCCAAGUAUUGGUCAAGUUUCUUGCCCCAGCCGCUCCUGGAUGCUCAGCCGAAGGCCUCUCUUACUCAAGCCAGUGUGGUUUUGGUUUUAGGGCUGAAGCAGCUUUGGGCUCCGGCCCAGCUCCAAUUAUCUUGGGCAGUAGAAUUUGGGGCUGGGAGAGGUCAGGCAUGGAAGAGUUUUUAGCUAAUGGAAAGAUAGAAUUGUGGGCUCCUCCCUGCAUAGCUUAUCUCAGGGGAUGGGGCAGGCCCUGCUUCUUCCUAGAGUGCAGCCAUGGGUUUCCAGGAUGUGAGCUCAGCAACUCUGGGUGGGGGUCCUUUUCCCACCCCAUCUGACACAUUUUCUGUCCCUUGUCCGGAGGGACCUGCCAGGUCUUUUUCAACCUAGAACAAAAAGUUGUAGAGGAUGCAAGCAGGAGAAGCUUCUCAAGUCACUGGCUGAGUGUGGUGAGAUUAGAGUAGAGAGGGCAUUCAAUACACUCUGCCAGUGCUGGAUAGUUUUGUGCUUGUUGACAUGAAUAAUUCAUCCAUUCCUUCUUCCAUCCUUCCAAGCUCAUCCAUCCCUCUGUUAAUUUAUCCAUCUUCCAAUCAAGCCAUCUAUCCAUCCAUCCAUCCAUCCAUCCAUCCAUCCAUCCAUCACCAUGAUCAUCUAGGUGAGUACUUGCUCUGGGCCAGACGUUGUGUCAGUUGCUAAGAUACAGUGAUAAACAGUUCAUCAUCCCUGCCCUGAAAGUGUUCCCAGUCUGGUGACCAGAUAUUCAAAUAAACACCGGCAUCUCCUCAGCAA